UGGACGAAGUCUGACGGAGCAACGCCGCGUGAACGAUGAAGGCCUUCGGGUCGUAAAGUUCUGUUGUCAGGGAAGAACAAGUACCGGAGUAACUGCCGGUACCUUGACGGUACCUGACCAGAAAGCCACGGCUAACUACGUGCCAGCAGCCGCGGUAAUACGUAGGUGGCAAGCGUUGUCCGGAAUUAUUGGGCGUAAAGCGCGCGCAGGCGGUUCCUUAAGUCUGAUGUGAAAGCCCCCGGCUCAACCGGGGAGGGUCAUUGGAAACUGGGGAACUUGAGUGCAGAAGAGGAGAGCGGAAUUCCACGUGUAGCGGUGAAAUGCGUAGAGAUGUGGAGGAACACCAGUGGCGAAGGCGGCUCUCUGGUCUGUAACUGACGCUGAGGCGCGAAAGCGUGGGGAGCGAACAGGAUUAGAUACCCUGGUAGUCCACGCCGUAAACGAUGAGUGCUAAGUGUUAGAGGGUUUCCGCCCUUUAGUGCUGCAGCAAACGCAUUAAGCACUCCGCCUGGGGAGUACGGCCGCAAGGCUGAAACUCAAAGGAAUUGACGGGGGCCCGCACAAGCGGUGGAGCAUGUGGUUUAAUUCGAAGCAACGCGAAGAACCUUACCAGGUCUUGACAUCCUCUGACAACCCUAGAGAUAGGGCGUUCCCCUUCGGGGGACAGAGUGACAGGUGGUGCAUGGUUGUCGUCAGCUCGUGUCGUGAGAUGUUGGGUUAAGUCCCGCAACGAGCGCAACCCUUGAUCUUAGUUGCCAGCAUUCAGUUGGGCACUCUAAGGUGACUGCCGGUGACAAACCGGAGGAAGGUGGGGAUGACGUCAAA
rnacentral:rRNA from 1 species